GACGAACCGUGCGAACGUUGUUCGGAAUCACUGGGCUUAAAGGGCGCGUAGGCGGGCAGGCAAGUCAGGGGUGAAAGCCCACGGCUCAACCGUGGAAGCGCCUUUGAUACUGCCGGCCUCGAGGGAGGUAGGGGCGUGCGGAACUUCCGGUGGAGCGGUGAAAUGCGUAGAUAUGCGGAGGAACACCGAUGGCGAAGGCAAUCCCCUGGGCCUGCACUGACGCUCAUGCACGAAAGCGUGGGGAGCAAGCAGG
rnacentral:rRNA from 1 species